UAGAUAUAUUUAUUAGUUGCUUUGUAUGGGGUGUAUGUGUCCCUGUGGAGGGGGCAGGGAGUAACAGUAAAUUGCCAUCUCUAGGAAUAAGGGGUGUUGUCACUUAUGGGUUACUCUCUCUCAAUCCAAAAGGACCAAGGGUUGAAUUUGUUUUAUGUUCAGUAACUUUUAGUCCCAGGAAUCAAAUCAGAUACUAAUUUAAAAAAUAAUAACAAAUUUUUAAAAGACUUAGGGUUAGGAGGGACCUUUCCAUUAUAAUUUGUGGGGCACAGUGAGCGGAAGGCUGGACGGAGGCUGUGCGUUUCUGGAGUGGAUACUGAUAUGGCUUUGAUGUUACACAUUUAUUGGAUCAGUUUGGAACUGGUGCCAGGCAGUAGACCGUCUUUGUCAUUUCCACAGCCAUUAUAUGGGUGUAGGGCGGAAAGGGGCUUCGGUGGGCCUGUACUAAUAAGAAACUGAGGCUCAGGUAACUGCACGUGAUUGCCUUUGAGAAAACACUUUCAUGUUAAUGAAGCAUCUUUUUGCUCAGUGUUGAGAAACUGCAAGGGUCGUAGCUACAUUGGAGGCUAUUUUGUUCUAUACUCCCGGAGAAUCAAGUCCCAUGCGCUGAUGAUUCUCAAGUCUCGAUGACUUCUCAUGGGCUUUGGCUGACAGCAUGCAUUAGAUAUUUUUGUUUCACUUACGCUUUUAAGCCUAAAAGACACAUCCUGUAAACCAGGUGGCUUCCAAAUCUGCAUAUAAAUAAGAGAGGGAAAACAACAAAAGCAGUGGAGGAUGUUUUUAUCUUGGCAGAUUAUUCUGCUUGGUAUCCUUAUUAGGUAUUUUAGAUCCAGAAUUCUCACCUUGAAGAUAAGAUUUUCAUUAGGAAGAUU
rnacentral:lncRNA from 1 species